GACGUAGGGCGCGAGCGUUGUCCGGAUUUAUUGGGCGUAAAGAGCUUGUAGGCGGUUUGUCGCGUCUGCUGUGAAAUUUCGGGGCUCAACCCCGAACUUGCAGUGGGUACGGGCAGACUAGAGUGUGGUAGGGGAGACUGGAAUUCCUGGUGUAGCGGUGAAAUGCGUAGAUAUCGGGAGGAACACCAGUGGCGAAGGCGACUUCCUGGCCUGUUCUUGACGCUGAGGCGCGAAAGCUAGGGGAGCAAACGGG
rnacentral:rRNA from 1 species